AGGUAAGCUACUAAGAGCGAAUGGUGGAUGCCUUGACUGGUAGAGGCGAUGAAGGACGUACUAGACUGCGAUAAGCUAGGUGGAGCUGUCAAGAAGCUUUGAUGCCUAGAUUUCCGAAUGGGGCAACCCAGUAUAUAGAGAUAUAUACUACCAUAAUGGAGCGAACGAGGGGAAUUGAAACAUCUUAGUACCCUCAGGAAAAGAAAUCAAACGAGAUUGCGUCAGUAGCGGCGAGCGAAAGCGUAAGAGGGCAAACCCAGUGCUUGCACUGGGGGUUGUAGGACUGCAAUGUGCAAGAGGAAAGGUUAGCAGAACACUCUGGAAAGUGUAGCCAUAGAGGGUGAUAGUCCCGUAUGCAAAAACCUAACCUUAGCUAGCAGUAUCCUGAGUAGGGCGGGACACGAGAAAUCCUGUCUGAAGCUGGGUAGACCACUAUCCAACCCUAAAUACUACUACCAGAUCGAUAGCGAACAAGUACCGUGAGGGAAAGGUGAAAAGAACGGCGGUGAGCCGAGUGAAAUAGAACCUGAAACCAUUUGCUUACAAUCAUUCAGAGCACUAUGUAGCAAUACAGUGUGAUGGACUGCCUUUUGCAUAAUGAGCCUGCGAGUUGUGGUGUCUGGCAAGGUUAAGCUAACGCGAAGCCGUAGCGAAAGCGAGUCUGAAUAGGGCGCUAAGUCAGAUGCUGCAGACCCGAAACGAAGUGAUCUAUCCAUGAGCAGGUUGAAGCUAGUGUAAGAACUAGUGGAGGACCGAACCCGCUAGCGUUGAAAAGCUAUGGGAUGACUUGUGGAUAGGGGUGAAAGGCCAAUCAAACUUCGUGAUAGCUGGUUCUCUCCGAAAUAUAUUUAGGUAUAGCGUUGUGUCGUAACUAAAGGGGGUAGAGCACUGAAUGGGCUAGGGCAUACACCAAUGUACCAAACCCUAUCAAACUCCGAAUACCUUUAGUGUAAUCACAGCAGUCAGGCGGCGAGUGAUAAAAUCCGUCGUCAAGAGGGAAACAACCCAGACUAACAGCUAAGGUCCCCAAAUCUUACUUAAGUGGAAAACGAUGUGAAGUUACUUAAACAACCAGGAGGUUGGCUUAGAAGCAGCCAUCCUUUAAAGAAAGCGUAAUAGCUCACUGGUCUAGUGAUUUUGCGCGGAAAAUAUAACGGGGCUAAAGUAAGUACCGAAGCUUUAGACUUGCAUACAACUUAGAUGAUUUAAAUUUAGAAUAUGAGAAGCUAAAUUUAUUUUUAUUUAUUUUUGCUUAUCUUUAUUCAUUUUUAUAGAGUAAAGAUAAAAACAAAAACUUCGUAAAAAUAAUAAAAUUUAGUAAAAAACAAUAAAAAUAUUCUUAGAUUAAAAGUUAAGUCGUUUAAGUUGUGUGCAAGUGGUAGGAGAGCGUUCUAUUUGCGCCGAAGGUAUACCGACAAGGAGUGCUGGAGCGAAUAGAAGUGAGCAUGCAGGCAUGAGUAGCGAUAAUUAAUGUGAGAAUCAUUAACGCCGUAAACCCAAGGUUUCCUACGCGAUGCUCGUCAUCGUAGGGUUAGUCGGGUCCUAAGCUGAGUCCGAAAGGGGUAAGCGAUGGCAAAUAGGUUAAUAUUCCUAUACCAACAUUAGUGUGCGAUGGAAGGACGCUUAGGGCUAAGGGGGCUAGCGGAUGGAAGUGCUAGUCUAAGGUCGUAGGAGGUUAUACAGGCAAAUCCGUAUAACAAUACUCCGAGAACUGAAAGGC
rnacentral:rRNA from 1 species